CACCACUCAAGCCUCGCUUGGUAUUGGGCGACGCGGUCCGCCGCGCGCCUCAAAUCGACCGGCUGGGUCUUUCGUCCCCUCAGCGUUGUGGAAACUAUUCGCUAAAGGGUGCCGCGGGAGGCCACGCCGUAAAACAACCCCAUUUCUAAGG
rnacentral:misc_RNA from 2 species